GUGGCGGACGGGUGAGUAACGCGUUAAAGAACUUGCCUUACAGACUGGGACAACAUUUGGAAACGAAUGCUAAUACCGGAUAUUAUGAUUGGGUCGCAUGAUCUGGUUAUGAAAGCUAUAUGCGCUGUGAGAGAGCUUUGCGUCCCAUUAGUUAGUUGGUGAGGUAACGGCUCACCAAGACGAUGAUGGGUAGCCGGCCUGAGAGGGUGAACGGCCACAAGGGGACUGAGACACGGCCCUUACUCCUACGGGAGGCAGCAGUGGGGAAUAUUGGACAAUGGACCAAAAGUCUGAUCCAGCAAUUCUGUGUGCACGAUGAAGUUUUUCGGAAUGUAAAGUGCUUUCAGUUGGGAAGAAGUCAGUGACGGUACCAACAGAAGAAGCGACGGCUAAAUACGUGCCAGCAGCCGCGGUAAUACGUAUGUCGCAAGCGUUAUCCGGAUUUAUUGGGCGUAAAGCGCGUCUAGGCGGCUUAGUAAGUCUGAUGUGAAAAUGCGGGGCUCAACCCCGUAUUGCGUUGGAAAACUGCUAAACUAGAGUACUGGAGAGGUAGGCGGAACUACAAGUGUAGAGGUGAAAUUCGUAGAUAUUUGUAGGAAUGCCGAUGGGGAAGCCAGCCUACUGGACAGAUACUGACGCUAAAGCGCGAAAGCGUGGGUAGCAAACAGGAUUAGAUACCCUGGUAGUCCACGCCGUAAACGAUGAUUACUAGGUGUUGGGGGUCGAACCUCAGCGCCCAAGCUAACGCGAUAAGUAAUCCGCCUGGGGAGUACGUACGCAAGUAUGAAACUCAAAGGAAUUGACGGGGACCCGCACAAGCGGUGGAGCAUGUGGUUUAAUUCGACGCAACGCGAGGAACCUUACCAGCGUUUGACAUCCCAAGAAGUUAACAGAGAUGUUUUCGUGCCUCUUCGGAGGAACUUGGUGACAGGUGGUGCAUGGCUGUCGUCAGCUCGUGUCGUGAAAUGUUGGGGUAAGUCCCGCAACGAGCGCAACCCCUUUCGUAUGUUACCAUCAUUAAGUUGGGAACUCAUGCGAGACUGCCUGCGAUGAGCAGGAGGAAGGUGGGGAUGACGUCAAGUCAUCAUGCCCCUUAUACGCUGGGCUACACACGUGCUACAAUGGGUAGUACAGAGAGCUGCAAACCUGCGAGGGUAAGCUAAUCUCAUAAAACUAUUCUUAGUUCGGAUUGUACUCUGCAACUCGAGUACAUGAAGUUGGAAUCGCUAGUAAUCGCAAAUCAGCUAUGUUGCGGUGAAUACGUUCUCGGGUCUUGUACACACCGCCCGUCACACCACGAGAGUUGGUUGCACCUGAAGUAACAGGCCUAACCGAAGGGANGGAUUUCCGAUGGUGU
rnacentral:rRNA from 1 species